AGACAGAGGUGCGGUCACGAUGAGUAACUGUUCUGAGAAAGUUCAGUUCUGUGAAGAACAGUGAAAGGCCAUACCGCCGAAGAAACAGAAUCCCCUCUCCCCCCUGAACAGUUCUGUUUCUGGUAUCUGGCUGAAUAAGUCUGAUACUGUCAUCAUGUGAUGGAGAGCUGUCGG
rnacentral:ncRNA from 1 species